CUACGGGUGGCAGCAGUGAGGAAUAUUGCACAAUGGGGGGAACCCUGAUGCAGCAACGCCGCGUGGAGGAUGACGCAUUUCGGUGUGUAAACUCCUUUUAUAUGUCAAGAAAAUGACGGUAGCAUAUGAAUAAGCACCGGCUAACUCCGUGCCAGCAGCCGCGGUAAUACGGAGGGUGCAAGCGUUACUCGGAAUCACUGGGCGUAAAGGACGCGUAGGCGGGUUGGAAAGUCAGGUGUGAAAUCCUACAGCUUAGCUGUAGAACUGCACUUGAAACUUCUAAUCUAGAGUAUGGGAGGGGGAGAUGGAAUUAGUGGUGUAGGGGUAACAUCCGUAGAUAUCACUAGGAAUACCUAAAGCGAAGGCGAUCUCCUGGAACAUUACUGACGCUAAGGCGUGAAAGCGUGGGGAGCAAACAGGAUUAGAUACCCCAGUAGUC
rnacentral:rRNA from 1 species